UGGAGUUCUGUGUCGCGGGUUGGCGCUCACCUCGGAGUGUGCAGAAGGGGAGGCGCCGCCCGAGCACCCUGUACGAAGAGAUCGGAGGAACAAGUCAUUUAUCAGCCAGUCGUAUGGACCCAAGUAACAGUUUACCAAAUCAAGAUUUACCGGGUCUCACAUUACUGCAGCAAAGCCAAAUCUCAGUUUGGCCAGGAGAACUUCUCAGGCUGAAGACCAGCCCAGCGCAGCAGUGUCUAGUGCCUCUAGACCAAGCACUACAGUCUCUACACCAGAUCCUACAGUUCCAACCUCUGUCCCCAGAGCCACUGCAGAUGUGUCCAAUCCCGCUAAGCCAUGCAUGAUCGUCUCU